AGAGUUUGAUCCUGGCUCAGAGCGAACGCUGGCGGCAGGCCUAACACAUGCAAGUCGAGCGCCGUAGCAAUACGGAGCGGCAGACGGGAGAGUAACACGUGGGAACGUGCCCUUCAGUUCGGAACAACCCAGGGAAACUUGGGCUAAUACCGGAUACGUCCGUAAGGAGAAAGAUUUAUCGCUGAAGGAUCGGCCCGCGUCUGAUUAGCUAGUUGGUGGGGUAACGGCUCACCAAGGCGACGAUCAGUAGCUGGUCUGAGAGGAUGAUCAGCCUCACUGGGACUGAGACACGGCCCAGACUCCUACGGGAGGCAGCAGUGGGGAAUAUUGGACAAUGGGCGCAAGCCUGAUCCAGCCAUGCCGCGUGGAUGAUGAAGGCCCUAGGGUUGUAAAGUCCUUUCGGCGGGGAAGAUAGUGACGGUACCCGCAGAAGAAGCCCCGGCUAACUUCGUGCCAGCAGCCGCGGUAAUACGAAGGGGGCUAGCGUUGCUCGGAAUCACUGGGCGUAAAGCGCACGUAGGCGGCUUUUUAAGUCAGGGGUGAAAUCCUGGAGCUCAACUCCAGAACUGCCUUUGAUACUGAGAAGCUUGAGUCCGGGAGAGGUGAGUGGAACUGCGAGUGUAGAGGUGAAAUUCGUAGAUAUUCGCAAGAACACCAGUGGCGAAGGCGGCUCACUGGCCCGGUACUGACGCUGAGAUGCGAAAGCGUGGGGAGCAAACAGGAUUAGAUACCCUAGUAGUCC
rnacentral:rRNA from 1 species